UACGGAGGAUCCGAGCGUUAUCCGGAUUUAUUGGGUUUAAAGGGCGCGUAGGCGGCCUAUUAAGUCAGGGGUGAAAGACGGUAGCUUAACUAUCGCAGCGCCUUUGAUACUGAUGGGCUUGAAUGUAGUUGAGGUAGGCGGAAUGUGACAAGUAGCGGUGAAAUGCAUAGAUAUGUCACAGAACACCAAUUGCGAAGGCAGCUUACUAAAGUAUGAUUGACGCUGAGGCACGAAAGCGUGGGGAUCAAACAGG
rnacentral:rRNA from 1 species